GUCAAUGGCUCAGUCAGUAGAGCAUGAGACUCUUAAUCUCAAGGCUGUGGGUUCAAGCUGCAUGUUGGGCA